CCCAGUCUAAAAAUAGAUCAAUCCCAGUUCCCAUUUUACUCCUUCAGGGCUCUCCCAUGACUUUGCUGUUUGCUUGCACGAAUUUUUUUUCCCUUACGUAAUGGCUGCACGAAUUUUUUUUCCAGGCAUUUUUCUUUGCACGAAUUUUUUUUGGGAAUUUUCACCCCCCCUCCCGGGAUUUCUAAUGGUCCGCCCCUAAUUAACAAUUAUUCGCCGAAGGCGAAGUGAUUACCGGUGAAUACUCAGCGAGACGAAGUCGAGGUGAAUAUUCACCGUAAUCACUGAGCCUGAGGCGAAUAAUUGUUUUAGUAUAAAUUUUUA